rnacentral:sRNA from 1 species
GCAAGGUCAGGAUUAUACGGCGGAUGCA